rnacentral:rRNA from 1 species
UACGUAGGGGGCAAGCGUUGUCCGGAAUCAUUGGGCGUAAAGCGCGUGUAGGCGGCUGGGUAAGUCCGCUCUGAAAGCCCGGGGCUCAACCCCGGGAGGCGGGUGGAUACUGCUCAGCUCGAGUCCGGAAGAGGAGUGUGGAAUUCCACGUGUAGCGGUGAAAUGCGUAGAGAUGUGGAGGAACACCGAUGGCGAAGGCAGCCUCCUGGGCCAAUACUGACGCUCAUGCACGAAAGCGUGGGGAGCAAACAGG